AUACUGUUGUGUGGACAUUUUCUUAAAAUCUCUUUGAAUCUUUCCCACGCGUCACUAGUGGACUCAUCUUCCAGCUGCUUAAAUGACAUGAUUUCACUUCUAAAGUUU